rnacentral:rRNA from 1 species
GACGAACGCUGGCGGCGUGCUUAACACAUGCAAGUCGAACGGAAAGGCCCUGCUUUUGUGGGGUGCUCGAGUGGCGAACGGGUGAGUAACACGUGUGUAACCUGCCCUUGACUUUGGGAUAACUUCUGGUAACUGGGGCUAAUACCGGAUAGGAUCUCCUGCUGCAUGGUGGGGGUUGGAAUGUUUCGGCGGUUGGGGAUGGACUCGCGGCUUAUCAGCUUGUUGGUGGGGUAGUGGCUUACCAUGGCUUUGACGGGUAGCCGGCCUGAGAGGGUGACCGGACACAGUGGGACUGAGAUACGGACCAGACUCCAACGGGAGGCAGCAGUGGGGAAUAGUGCACAAUGGGCGGAAGCCUGAUGAAGCAACGCCGCGUGCGGGAUGACGGCCUUCGGGUUGUAAACCGCUUGCGCCUGAGACGAAGAGUGAGUGACGGUAAUGGGUAAAGAAGCACCGGCUAACUACGUG